rnacentral:rRNA from 1 species
UACGUAGGGUGCGAGCGUUAAUCGGAAUUACUGGGCGUAAAGUGUGCGCAGGCGGCCGAGCAAGUCGAGUGUGAAAGCCCCGAGCUUAACUUGGGAACUGCGCUCGAAACUACUUGGCUGGAGUGUGGCAGAGGAAGGUGGAAUUCCACGUGUAGCGGUGGAAUGCGUAGAGAUGUGGAGGAACACCGAUGGCGAAGGCAGCCUUCUGGGCCAACACUGACGCUCAUGCACGAAAGCGUGGGGAGCAAACAGG